AGCGGCUCUUAGCUGUGGAACCGUUAGUAGUAGCUUGGCACCGUGCAUUGGCUACUUGACCCAAGGUACGCCCCUUCCCUUAGCGUGCUGCGCCGGCGUUAAAAGACUAAACAGCAUGGCCCGUACAACCCCGGACCGUCAGCAAGCUUGCCGUUGCCUUGUUGGAGCCGCCAACGCCUUAGGUUCCGGUCUCAACACUGGCCGUGCAUCUGGACUUCCUAAGGCAUGUGGUGUCAAUAUUCCAUACGCAAUCAGCAAAAACACUAACUGCGCCAUGUAUGUGUUAAUCUCUCACUCUCUCUGAUACAUAUGAAAACUAAAGGUUUCUUGUUUUGUUACAAUACGAAUAUACGAUGUAACUAAUAUUAAAGUUAGUUUUUUUGACAAAAUGAAGAUUUGAGUUUGCUAUAAAACGGUUUCAUGUUUUACUAAAGUUUAUAAGUCUUCCCGGUUCAACCAUGUUCCAAUAUAAAAGUUGAAUUUUUAUACCGUUGCAACAAGUAUAUAUUAAAAGUUUAUUUUUUUGAGUGGAAAUUAGAGGUUUUUAUAUAGUAACGGUGUUAUGUUUAUUUGUAUGUGGUUGCAGCGUGCGUUAAAUGAGCGGCGGUCGGAUGAAGCUCUAGCGGAUGUUUCAAAUAUUAUAUGAGACUAUGAGAGAAUACUAAAUAAGAUGUAAUGUCUGUUUUUUUUUUGAGUUUUUAGUUUCCUGUCUUUUUUUCUUUUUUCUUUUAUGGUGGCGUUCCUAUUACUUGGUCGUCUGUACUAUGUUCGCAAUCAACGUUAUAUGAGUUUCAAAGUUCACAUUAUUUUAUAUUCUUACCAAAUCUUAGUUUAGUUUCAUCGAUAUGAAAAAUGAUCAUUAUACAUUAACAAUAUAUAUAUAUAUAUAUAUUGAUUUGCAUUACAGUUGGGAAGUAACGGAUAAUUUAAAUUUAAUUUUACAGCCAAAUAAAAUAACGGGACAUUCUCCAAAUUUGUACUAUUUACUUGUUUAGACUUAAGAUAAUCGAGAAAAUGAUGGAUCGCUAUAUGGAAUCGUGACAACUCUUGGAAAACCAGGACCCUAUCUUAUAAUGUGCCCAAAACUAGGGAUUUAUUUCAGUUUGACUUAAUUAAUUUUACAGAUUAGAUAAUGAUUUGGAUAUUGGACAAACCAAUAAAAUGAACAUAACGAAAUAAUAUUUCUAUCAAAAUUUGGUUAUCUUUUCAUCAUUGUUAGUUAUUAUUUUUUCUAAUUUAAUUUAAUUUAUAAUCUACCGUGUGAUGAAUUUUUUCUAAAGAAGAAAAAUCAAAAUUCUGUUAAACUCCAUACAGCUCCCAAAAGUCUAGGCCCAAUUCUGGUUGCUCUCUCAGUGUUGCUAAUUAACUACUUUUUUUUUUAACACAUCGAGGGAAACUCAAUUUUACAAUCAAAAUCAAACCAAUAAGUCUUAACCAUGAAAUAAUACCAAAGAUGAUGAAAUACAUUAGAGAAAAACCCAUAUAAGCUGCUAUUGUUGUAGAUGAAGUUUUUUUUGCAGAUUUAUUGGAGGCAACUGUGCGUUUGGGAAACAAAAUUUGGGAGGUGAGAAGAAACUCGCGUUGUGAUAAGAAAAUAGCGCAAUCACAUUUUGACGGAAAUUUACAAAAUCAUAGUUAUACCGGAAAAUCACCGACUGUUUGUUGAAUUAGUCCAAAGAGACUCAUGUUGGUUCAAGGUUUUUGUUUGUAUAGGUGGUUAUGUGAUAGAAAUAGUCGGAUUUAUAUUUCUGUUCUUCCGAAAUAACAUUUGUUGAUUUUUCUUUGUUGAUUAUUAGUCUAAUGUGUAUAAAAAAUGAUAAAGUUAAACAAAACGGGUAAAUUAUCGUUUUGCAUAAUUUUCUUACAUAUUUAUUUGAUCCACAGCGAAAAACGGUCUUGGGACAGCAGCUCUCAAGAUUAACAGCUACAGUUUGUAAAACAAAUGUAGACUUUGUUUGAGAAAGAGGAGUUUUUUAAAGUUUUUGAAACUCAUAUGUGUUUUUCUUGUUUUGUGAAGAUAUAAUUUGUGUGUACUUAACGCAUAUAUCUAGUCUUGUAUGAGUGAAUCAAAUAUUUAAAAUAAAGAUUGCAAUGUAAAUUUCUAGACUUAUAUACAUAGUGCAUACAUAUUUGUUGAAAAAUGAGAGCAUAAUAUAUGGUUUUAAUUAUAUUAAAUUUUCGUGUUGCGUGACUUGCGUUUCAUCUCAUUAAGAAAGUUUUUACGUAUUUUGUUGGAUCCGCUAGCUAAAUUAUUUUCAUUUGUUAAUCGGAUGUAAAAGAUAUUAGUCAGAUGAUGUUAAGUAAGAUACAAUAAGAAUAUAACAUUUAGUGAUAUUUCUACGUGAAAUGACUAUUUUCUUAUCCAUGUAUAGUUUUAACAUUCUUAAAAUGAAAAUGCAAGAGAGAUUACAUACGUCUUUUUGUGGGUGGGGGGGGGGGGGGGAAAAGAACUACGGUAAAAAAUGUAAGUAUUAUAAGUUUUCAGAAAAAUAAUAUGAUUGAAAUGUCAAACAAAAUACGUAGAUGAGAAAUGAGAGGUACUCACCACUCCUACAUAAUUAGGUACUGUACAUUAAAUGUAACCAACCACCAAUCAACUAAUCAUUUCCUCUAAAUCCCAUUCACAUUCACAACAUCAAAACUUUCUUUCUCUAUAUAAACACUCACUCCCUCAACUCUCUUCAUCACCCAAUAUCACUACACUACAUACAUCUGCUUCUUCAAACAACCAAAAAAAAAACUAUAUUUCCAAGAUAAAAAGAAAAUGGCUGGUCUAAUGAAGUUGGCAUUCCUGGUCUUGGCCUGCAUGAUUGUGGCCGGUCCAAUCACAGCCAAAGCGGCUCUGACCUGUGGCACCGUUACCAGCAACGUUGCAGCGUGCAUUGGCUACAUUACCCAAGGUGGGCCCGUUCCAGGAGCUUGCUGCUCAGGCAUUAAAAACCUUAACAGCAUGGCCCGUACAACCCCGGACCGUCAACAAGCUUGUCGUUGCCUUAAAACUGCCGCUAAUGCCUUGGGCCCAAAUCUCAACGCUGGCCGUGCAGCUGGACUUCCUAAGGCUUGUGGAGUCAAUGUUCCUUUCCCAAUCAGCACCAGCACCAA
rnacentral:lncRNA from 1 species